rnacentral:rRNA from 1 species
UACGAAGGGUGCAAGCGUUAAUCGGAAUUACUGGGCGUAAAGGGUGCGUAGGCGGUUGUUUAAGUCUGUCGUGAAAUCCCCGGGCUCAACCUGGGAAUGGCGAUGGAAACUGGGCAGCUAGAGUGUGUCAGAGGAUGGUGGAAUUCCCGGUGUAGCGGUGAAAUGCGUAGAUAUCUGGAGGAACACCGGUGGCGAAGGCGGCAUCCUGGACCGGCAUUGACGCUGAGGAGCGAAAGCCAGGGGAGCAAACGGG